GCUGUUGUAGAGCCAAUUGAGGCUGUUGUAGAGUUCAUUGAGGCUGUUGUAGAGCCCAUUGAGGCUGUUGUAGAGCCCAUUGAGGCUGUUGUAGAGCCCAUUGAGGAUGUUGUAGAGCCCAUUCAGGCUGUUGUAGAGCCCAUUCAGGCUGUUGUAGAGCCCAUUGAGGAUGUUGUAGAGCCCAUUCAGGCUGUUGUAGAGCCCAUUCAGGCUGUUGUAGAGCCCAUUGAGGCUGUUGUAGAGUUCAUUGAGGCUGUUGUAGAGCCCAUUGAGACUGUUGUAGAGCCCAUUGAGGCUGUUGUAGAGCCCAUUGAGGAUGUUGUAGAGCCCAUUGAGACUGUUGUAGAGCCCAUUGAGGCUGUUGUAGAGCCCAUUGAGGAUGUUGUAGAGCCCAUUGAGGAUGCUGUAGAGCCCAUUGAGGAUGUUGUAGAGUUCAUUGAGGAUGUUGUAGAGCCCAUUGAGGCUGUUGUAGAGCCCAUUGAGGCUGUUGUAGAGCCCAUUGAGGCUGUUGUAGAGCCCAUUGAGGAUGUUGUAGAGCCCAUUCAGGCUGUUGUAGAGCCCAUUCAGGCUGUUGUAGAGCCCAUUGAGGCUGUUGUAGAGUUCAUUGAGGCUGUUGUAGAGCCCAUUGAGACUGUUGUAGAGCCCAUUGAGGCUGUUGUAGAGCCCAUUGAGGAUGUUGUAGAGCCCAUUGAGACUGUUGUAGAGCCCAUUGAGGAUGUUGUAGAGCCCAUUGAGGAUGUUGUAGAGCCCAUUGAGGAUGCUGUAGAGCCCAUUGAGACUGUUGUAGAGCCCAUUGAGGAUGUUGUAGAGCCCAUUGAGGCUGUUGUAGAGUUCAUUGAGGCUGUUGUAGAGCCCAUUGAGGCUGUUGUAGAGCCCAUUGAGGAUGUUGUAGAGUUCAUUGAGGAUGUUGUAGAGUUCAUUGAGGAUGCUGUAGAGCCCAUUGAGGAUGUUGUAGAGUUCAUUGAGGAUGCUGUAGAGCCCAUUGAGGAUGUUGUAGAGUUCAUUGAGGAUGUUGUAGAGUUCAUUGAGGAUGCUGUAGAGUUCAUUGAGGCUGUUGUAGAGCCCAUUAAGGCUGUUAUAGAGUUCAUUGAGGAUGUUGUAGAGCCCAUUGAGGAUGUUGUAGAGUUCAUUGAGGAUGUUGUAGAGUUCAUUGAGGAUGUUGUAGAGUUCAUUGAGGAUGUUGUAGAGUUCAUUGAGGAUGCUGUAGAGUCCAUUGAGGAUGCUGUAGAGUCCAUUGAGGAUGCUGUAGAGUCCAUUGAGGAUGUUGUAGAGCCCAUUGAGGAUGUUGUAGAGCCCAUUGAGGAUGUUGUAGAGCCCAUUGAGGAUGCUGUUGAGCCCAUUGAGGAUGCUGUAGAGUCCAUUGAGGAUGCUGUAGAGUCCAUUGAGGAUGUUGUAGAGCCCAUUGAGGCUGUUGUAGAGCCCAUUGAGGCUGUUGUAGAGCCCAUUGAGGCUGUUGUAGAGCCCAUUGAGGAUGUUGUAGAGCCCAUUGAGGAUGCUGUAGAGUUCAUUGAGGAUGUUGUAGAGCCCAUUGAGGCUGUUGUAGAGUUCAUUGAGGAUGUUGUAGAGCCCAUUGAGGCUGUUGUAGAGUUCACUGAGGAUGCUGUAGAGCCCAUUGAGGCUGUUGUAGAGUUCAUUUAG
rnacentral:lncRNA from 1 species